UCUGUGUGUGUGUUCAUUCUUAUUGCUAGCUACAUUAGCAUUCUGUGUGUGAGUGUUCUGUGUGUGUGUGGUCUUCCUUAUUGCUAGCUACAUUAGCAUUCUGUGUGUGGUGAGUGUUCUGUGUGUGUAUGUGUGUGUGUGUGUGUGUGUGUGUAUAU